ACAUGCCUACAACAUAGCGUUAAUGCAUUGGAUCCCAUUAGAACUCUGCAGUUAAGCACGCUCAUGCUAGAGUAGUACUGGGAUGGGUGACCGCCGGGGAAGUCCUAGUGUUUUACAUGCC
rfam:Picea glauca, whole genome shotgun sequence.